rnacentral:lncRNA from 1 species
ACGACAAUACUUCCGUUGUGGGGUCCACCAAUGAUUGUGCUGUCGUACGAAUAUUUCCUGUUAAAACGAAUAUUUUCCGACCAAUCGAAUAUUAUAUAACUACUUGCUUACUUUGAAAAAUUUGUAAUAAUACCCACAACUAUAACAUUAUAUCAAAUUCACACCAUAAUAUUCAAAAAUAUAUUUCGAAAAAAAAUAAUUUUUAUUAAUAAAAGUUGG